rfam:Salmo salar isolate Sally breed double haploid chromosome ssa13, whole genome shotgun sequence.
UAUACACUCUACUGUAAGUCGCUCUGGAUAAGAGCGUCUGCUAAAUGACUGUAA